rnacentral:rRNA from 1 species
AUGCUCAGGUUCAAAGGUCUAACAAGUGGUAUCAGAGCCUCGUUAUCUUGUACCCUGAGCAUUUCCUGUGAGCAGCCCAAGUCGGUAGCAGCAGCUGCUCCGUCUGCCUCUGGUUACUUUCCUCCCUCCGGACUGUCGAGCAACAGUUCAUCUUCAACAGCCUCCUCUUCACGCAACAGCCCCCCUGCAGCGAGCCAUGUCUGCAGGCUGGCUGCAGCGGAGCUGGCAGCAGCCAAAGCGGAGGUAGAAGCAGCCAGGGCGGAGUUAGAAGCAGCAGCAGCAGCGGACGCAGCACGUGAGGCUACGGCGGAUGCCAAAGCACUCCGCGGCGGCUCCGGCAGCUCCAACAGCUCCGCACCUGCGGACGACGGCGCUGACGCAGACCGCGCCAAAGUGGCGCAAGAGCGGACGGCGCAGUGGGCAGCCGAGCACGCCCGCGCUCCAGGUGGAGGUGCGCACCGCGACGACGGCUGCAACGACCAGGACCGCGGCCUCUACGAGGUCCGGACUGUGGUCAGGGAUGUUGGUCCCAGUGCUGGGUGGCCUACCCUUACUAAAACCAACUACGUCGAGUGGGCCGGGAUCAUGAAGGUCAAGCUCCAGGUGCGGCGCAUGUGGGAGGCAGUCCAGGACAGCAACGUCGACCACCAAGAGGACCGACGGGCGCUGGACGCCCUCAUCGCCGCAGUCCCGCCCAAGAUGCAGUUCUCGCUUUCCAGCAAGCGGACUGCCAAGGAAGCUUGGGACGCCAUCUCCGCGGCACGCAUCGGCAGCGAUCGUGCUCGCAAGUCCACUCUGCAGGCACUUCGUAAGGAGUGGGAGAGCUUGGCUUUCAAGCCAGGUGAGGACGUUGAUGACUUUGCUCUCCGUCUCAACACUCUGCUGCAGAAGUUGGUGAAGUUUGGUGAUGCCACCUACACCGAGGAGAGAGCUGUUGAGAAGCUCUUUCGGUGCAUCCCCGAGAAGUACAAGCAGAUGGCUUGGUCGAUCGAGUCCUUGCUGGACCUCUCCACGAUGAAAAUCGAGGAGGCGAUAGGUCGCCUCAAGGUCGUCGACACCGACGAGCCACAACCUUCCUCGGGGCCCAUCACCACCGGCGGGAAGCUGCUCCUAACUCGGGAGCCGUGGGAUGCCAGCCUUGGUGACAGGAAGAAGGGGGAGCCUUCUUCCACGACGGGCGGCCGCAAGCAUGGCAAGCAGCGUAAGACGCGAAGAGGCCCCCCGGGCAGGGCACAAGGACGUGCCGAAGGGGACGCUUGCGGAGGCGCCAAGGACGGCGCCGCUGGCAAGCCCAAGCCGGCACAAGACAACAUCUGCCACAACUGUGGCCGGUUUGGCCAUUGGGCCAAUGAGUGUCGGCAACCACGACAAGGCCAGGCUCACGUCGCACAGGCGAAGGAGGAGACGGCUCUGUUCAUGCACAUGGUCCUUGUGGCAGUUAGGAUAGAGUUCCUGACCAUCAAGGACUGGCAGUUAGGAUAG